UACGUAGGGUGCGAGCGUUAAUCGGAAUUACUGGGCGUAAAGGGCGCGUAGGCGGACAGUUUAGUCAGAGGUGAAAGCCCAGGGCUCAACCUUGGAAUUGCCUUUGAUACUGGCUGUCUUGAGUACGGGAGAGGUGAGUGGAACUCCGAGUGUAGAGGUGAAAUUCGUAGAUAUUCGGAAGAACACCAGUGGCGAAGGCGACUCACUGGCCCGUUACUGACGCUGAGGCGCGAAAGCGUGGGGAGCAAACAGG
rnacentral:rRNA from 1 species